CCUACGGGUGGCAGCAGUGAGGAAUAUUGGUCAAUGGGCGCGAGCCUGAACCAGCCAAGUCGCGUGAGGGAAGACUGCCCUACGGGUUGUAAACUUCUUUUGUAAAGGAACAAGGUGAGGGACGUGUCCCUUUUUGAAUGUACGUUAUGAAUAAGGAUCGGCUAACUUCGUGCCAGCAGCCGCGGUAAUACGGAGGAUGCGAGCGUUAUCCGGUUUGAUUGGGUUUAAAGGGAGCGGAGAUGGGUUGAUAAGUCAGAUGUGAAAGUUUGCGGCUCAACCGUACAAUUGCAUUUGAAACUGGCGGUCUUGAGUACAGGUGAGGUAGGCGGAAUGCGUGGUGUAGCGGUGAAAUGCUUAGAUAUCACGAAGAACUCCGAUUGCGAAGGCAGCUUACUGGCCUGCCACUGACAUUGAUGCUCGAAAGCGUGGGUAUCGAACAGGAUUAGAUACCCGAGUAGUC
rnacentral:rRNA from 1 species